rnacentral:rRNA from 1 species
UACGAAGGGGGCUAGCGUUGUUCGGAAUCACUGGGCGUAAAGCGCGCGUAGGCGGAUCUUUAAGUCAGGGGUGAAAUCCCGAGGCUCAACCUCGGAACUGCCUUUGAUACUGGGGAUCUCGAGUCCGGGAGAGGUGAGUGGAACUGCGAGUGUAGAGGUGAAAUUCGUAGAUAUUCGCAAGAACACCAGUGGCGAAGGCGGCUCACUGGCCCGGAACUGACGCUGAGGUGCGAAAGCGUGGGGAGCAAACAGG